UUGUGAGGCACAAGAGGACCCAGGCUCCAGCAUCUUCCACGGCACCACAGAUGCACAGUGGGCUGUUCUGGAUGCCCCAGGCAUGGUUGGUCUCAGCUGUUAAUCUGGAUCCAGGGGUGGACUUAAAUUGUGACCUGGAUGGAGGGCUGAGUCACAGGAGGAGGUGGACCACCAGAUGACCAGAGCAGCUGUCAGCAGGGAAAUGUCAGAUGGGAAGAGACCUGCUACACCACAACUAGCCAUGAGGAGGCAAUUCAGCAAUGAGUACCCCCUUCACAUGCUGCCUAAUGGAAAUUCCAGAGCAAAAAAUGUUAACUGUUUCUUAUUGGUUCCAACUGACAACGAGGUUUUGGAACAAAGUAAUGGAUCUAUUGGUCUAUUAUUAUUGGAUUAGUGUAGUGAUUAGAGGCCUCAAGUAAGAUUGGCAUCUCAUUGUAUUAGGCAUUGUCCAAGCUUGACUCUGUGAUAAAUGGUUGCUUUACUCCAAAAAUCAGAAAA